GAUGAACGCUGGCGGCGUGCCUAAUACAUGCAAGUCGAGCGAAUGGAUUAAGAGCUUGCUCUUAUGAAGUUAGCGGCGGACGGGUGAGUAACACGUGGGUAACCUGCCCAUAAGACUGGGAUAACUCCGGGAAACCGGGGCUAAUACCGGAUAACAUUUUGAACCGCAUGGUUCGAAAUUGAAAGGCGGCUUCGGCUGUCACUUAUGGAUGGACCCGCGUCGCAUUAGCUAGUUGGUGAGGUAACGGCUCACAAAGGCAACGAUGCGUAGCCGACCUGGGAGGGUGAUCGGCAACACUGGGAAUGAGAACCGGCCCAGACUCCUACGGGAGGCAGCAGUAGGGAAUCUUCCGCAAUGGACGAAAGUCUGACGGAGCAACGCCGCGUGAGUGAUGAAGGCUUUCGGGUCGUAAAACUCUGUUGUUAGGGAAGAACAAGUGCUAGUUGAAUAAGCUGGCACCUUGACGGUACCUAACCAGAAAGCCACGGCUAACUACGUGCCAGCAGCCGCGGUAA
rnacentral:rRNA from 1 species